rnacentral:lncRNA from 1 species
AGAGCUCACCCUCUCUGAAGGAGAGCAGGUGCCUCCUGAGAGCAGGGCUUCUCUACCUUGGGGCACUAUGAACAUUCUGAGUGGGGCGCCCUGAACGAGUGCCCAGAUGCUUGUGAGGCCCAGAUCUUGGGGUGUGCAGCCAGGAAGGGCUCUGCUAGCUUUCCCACCUCCCUCCUGACCUCUUCUGCCCCUCACUGGACCCAGCCCGUUGGCUUCAGGAUGGGCCCCACGGGACAUGCUUUCAUGGAACCUGAGGAAAGAAUGCACUUACAACAGCGCCGGGAGCACAGAGGCUUCCCACUACCCUUUCCGAGAAGCACGUCUAUUUUCUCUAAUUUAUUCAGUGCCGCUGUGCGUGUGUGGCCUCUCAGUGCCCACUUUGUUCAUCUCUGCUCACUGGGGGAGCCAGGACACGGAUCCAGGUUUUCUGACUCCAGGUAGGCACCCAAAUCAAGACUCAGAUUUCCUCAUCUCAGAAGUUGUCCACUUCUUCUCCGACCUCCACGGUAACUCGGAACCACACCGUGGAGUUAUCCCUGUGUCCUCUUUCUCGGAAGUUCCACAUCCAACCCCUCAGCAGGUCUCAGCGGCACUCUCACCACCUCCUCUGCUCUGUUCCUGUUUCUCUUGGAUGGUCGAAUGUUUCCUAAGGAGUGUCUGCUGCUUCACGCUUGCCCCCUGGAGUGGCAUCUAAAAGGUGCAGGUCAGAUGAAUCUUUCUUCUGCCAGGGCUCCCGGCUUAGCCAAGGAAAAGCACAAGUCCCUGACCAUAUCCUGCAAAAUUCCACAUCUGGGAACUCAGGCAUAUCAGGCCUGGUCUCUUUUUCUUCUUCCUUUUAAAAUAACGAAUACAUUGACAUGCCCCUUAUUACACCAUGCUGAAAUGAAAUUCAUAGGCAAUAUCACCUAUCUAUAGACACAAUUUACAUAAAUCCAUGUAAGCCACAUAAUGCCCUAAUUGUAUUCUAGAGGAGAAUUAAAAGGAAACGAAUUUAUAAUAAAAUAAUAGUUAUCUCA